UACGAAGGGGGCUAGCGUUGCUCGGAAUCACUGGGCGUAAAGCGCACGUAGGCGGACUCUUAAGUCGGUGGUGAAAUCCUGGAGCUCAACUCCAGAACUGCCUUUGAUACUGGGGAUCUCGAGUCCGGGAGAGGUGAGUGGAACUCCGAGUGUAGAGGUGAAAUUCGUAGAUAUUCGGAAGAACACCAGUGGCGAAGGCGGCUCACUGGCCCGGUACUGACGCUGAGGUGCGAAAGCGUGGGGGAGCAAACAGG
rnacentral:rRNA from 1 species